CUCCCCGGCCCGCCGGGCAGUGGGUCACCGGCCUGGACAGCGAGGCGAGACGCCCGGCGUGGGAAAGGACGACAGGGCCUGGGCCCUGCCCGCCAGUGGGCUUACGGUCGACGGGAGGGGCGGGCUGGAGGCCCUGGGCUUCGUACCACGACCCAGCGUGAGCCCCGUUCUGGUGAACUGAUUCUCCCCAGGCCCCUCCGUCCCCCGUCCUGCCCCCCGCCCACCCCUUCAGCGGAUUCUGACCCGGGAGAGACGGAGGGAGACAGAGGACGGGGCGAGGGGGCCUGCUGCCGGGGAGGGGGGUCCCCCGGGCUCCCGCCCCGCCGGGAAAGGCACCGAGGCCGAAGCCAAAAUGCGAACCGCCGAGAGAGAACCCCCGAGGAACAGUCCGGAGAGAACGGCCGAGUAAACAACAGACUAAAGUUGGGAAAAAGACAAAGAACAACAAAAAAAAACCAAGCAAACAAAACAAAAAAAAAAACCAAAACUCUGAUUCUAGACCAAAAAGGAAAAAUAUCCAGGACUCUAUCCUUCGCCCUCCCCCGACCCACACCACCCCUAAACCUCGUCCCCCCUCUUCUGGGGGUGGUCGGGUUGCUCCCCCCCACCCCACCCACUCCGGCCGGGGUGGCGGGUGGAAAGGACGUGAUUGUGGAGGGGGCAAGAAUGGGGGAGGGGUGGGGGGCUGCCCUCCUCUGCAGUCGCUGGGGGGGGCGCCCCCUCCCCUCCCACCGGGGAAGACCCCCCAAAGCAAACAAACCAACGCCGAGCUUUAACUACAGCUGUGAAACCAAAUAUAGGGGAGGGAGGGGGCCUCAGGGGGAGGGGCAGGUGAGCCCCCGGCCUCCCCACCCCCUGCUCCCGGCCCCCCUCCGACCCUCCCCCUCCCCCCCUCCGUCCCCCCAUCCUCCCCUCCCCCCGAGGACUGGAGAUAUAAAGGCACCAAAUACCUCAACGAACUUUAAUGUUAAAAACCAAAUAGUGUCCGCGCGGGGCGGGUGGGUGGGCUGGGUGGGCGUAGGGGGGGGAGGGCUGGGCCGGGUCUGCAGGUGGAGGGGGCGGGAUGGAGGU
rnacentral:lncRNA from 1 species